rnacentral:lncRNA from 1 species
CAGAAGGCAUAAGAUUUCCUAUUCUUGGAAGCCUCUAGAAGAAAGCCUUUACAAGGACCUUUACACUCUAAAUAUGAGAGAAAGAGAGAGGAAGAGGGGAUCUCCUAGGGAAUAAGCAGGAAAGACCUAAAUAUUCUCAGUUUCAAAAUUCCCCAUACAAAUUAGUCUUAAGCAUAUCUCUAUUUCUAUUUAGGUCUCAUCACUUCACAUUGUGCAGAAAAACACCAUGGACAAAGGUGUGAAGAAGACAUUCCCCAGUGAGACUGGUGGAACAACCCAGUAUAGGACACAGACAUCCAGUCUACCUAAAGAUGAGGGAAAAGGGAGAACAUCUCAGCCUAUCAGUCAUAUGCCAAACUCAUUUGAUGUUCUAGAUUCUCUCCUGGUCAAAUUAAGUGAGGAAAAGAAUGAACCGAGUCACAACCAAGGGAUUGUAAAUUCAAGACCACUCCCAUCAUCCCUGGAUCCCCAUCAUGCAUUGAUACCCAUGGAUGACAAACAGAAAAUUAGUGGAAAAGUCCUUGCUAAUUUUCCACAAAACUUUAGCCUAGAGGAAGGGAAGUCAAAACAGCAUGGAGUUCUUGGAUCCACUUUGACUGACUACAGAAGUACAGAGAAACCUGAGCCAGAUGUACCAGUCAUAGCGAAUAUAAGUCUACUCCACCCAAGUAGUCAUCUAGAAAUCCUGCCACCCUCACAAACUGACCUGUCCCAUGAGCAACCAAAAGAAUCAAAGGUGAAAGUGACAAGGAAGAAGAAAAGGAAAGAUAAUGAGGAUGGAAAGUUUCUCAAAAGAAAGAGAGAAGAGUCUUUUCAAAAAACAGUGCAAUGCCUCUUAGAAAUGGUUGAAAUGAUGGAAAACAUUGUACAGAAUUUGAUCAGCAGACAAAGAAAAUCUAAACCUUGAGACCACUUGCAACUCCUGCCUACAUUUUGCCUCACCAUAUCCUCCAUAAGUCCUCUGGAAAGCCUACAGAAUAUUUGCUGUUGCGGUGAUUUCAGUUUGAGUAAAGUCUGCAAGGGAAAAUAUCAUGUCCUGUGUUAAUGGUACAUUAGAAAGGGG